GUGGCAGCAGCCGCGGUAAAACCAGCACCUCAAGUGGUCAGGAGGAUUAUUGGGCCUAAAGCAUCCGUAGCCUGUUCUAUAAGUUUCCGGUUAAAUCCAUUAGCUCAACUAAUGGGCCGCCGAAAAUACUGUAGAACUAGGGAGUGGGAGAGGUAGACGGUAUUCGGUAGGAAGGGGUAAAAUCCUUUGAUCUAUUGAGGACCACCUGUGGCGAAGGCGGUCUACCAGAACACGUUCGACGGUGAGGGAUGAAAGCUGGGGGAGCAAACCGGAUUAGAUACCCGGGUAGUCCCAGCUGUAAACGAUGCAGACUCGGUGAUGCGCUGGCUUGUGGCCAGUGCAGUGCCGCAGGGAAGCCGUUAAGUUUGCCGCCUGGGAAGUACGUACGCAAGUAUGAAACUUAAAGGAAUUGGCGGGGGAGCACCACAAGGGGUGAAGCCUGCGGUUCAAUUGGAGUCAACGCCAGAAAUCUUACCCGAAGAGACAGCAGAAUGAAGGUCAAGCUGGAGACUUUACCAGACAAGCUGAGAAGUGGUGCAUGGCCGUCGCCAGCUCGUGCCGUGAGAUGUCCUGUUAAGUCAGGUAACGAGCGAGAUCCCUGCCUCUAGUUGCCACCAUUACUCUCAGGAGUAGUGGGGCGAAUUAGCGGGACCGCCGCAGUUAAUGCGGAGGAAGGAAGGGGCCACGGCAGGUCAGUAUGCCCUGAAACUUUGGGGCCACACGCGGGCUGCAAUGGUAGCGACAAUGGGUUCCGAAUCCGAAAGGAGGAGGCAAUCCUCAAACGCUACCACAGUUAUGAUUGAGGGCUGUAACUCGCCCUCAUGAAUAUGGAAUCCCUAGUAACUGCGUGUCAUUACCGCACAGUGAAUACGUCCCUGCUCCUUGCACACACCGCCCGUC
rnacentral:rRNA from 1 species